GACGAACGCUGGCGGCGUGCUUAACACAUGCAAGUCGAACGGAAAGGCCCUGCUUUUGUGGGGUGCUCGAGUGGCGAACGGGUGAGUAACACGUGAGUAACCUGCCCUUGACUUUGGGAUAACUUCAGGAAACUGGGGCUAAUACCUGAUAGGAGCUCCUGCUGCAUGGUGGGGGUUGGAAAGUUUCGGCGGUUGGGGAUGGACUCGCGGCUUAUCAGCUUGUUGGUGGGGUAGUGGCUUACCAAGGCUUUGACGGGUAGCCGGCCUGAGAGGGUGACCGGCCACAUUGGGACUGAGAUACGGCCCAGACUCCUACGGGAGGCAGCAGUGGGGAAUAUUGCACAAUGGGCGGAAGCCUGAUGCAGCAACGCCGCGUGCGGGAUGACGGCCUUCGGGCUGUAAACCGCUUUCGCCUGUGACGAAGCGUGAGUGACGGUAAUGGGUAAAGAAGCACCGGCUAACUACGUG
rnacentral:rRNA from 1 species